ACAGCAAUAGACCGUUUGCUUCAGCUAAUCUCAAGAUGUUUAAGUUCACGGCUCUUCACUUCGUAUUUUUCGCAGUCGCUGUUGGGCUCAUGGUCGAAACCGUUACUUCGUAUUGCGAUCCGUCAAGGAUGCCGAUGACAAGCCCGGCGCGAUCGCACCCAACCCCCUCGCCGAGACGUGGGAGGCCAAGACCUAAGCGCGGGACCUAGACGACAAACGAGGACUCGUCGCCAGGGCCCGGGAGGCGAUCGCGGCCAGAUGAUUCCUGGACUAAGGGACCCUCCCACCUAGAGUGACCCCAAGCUUAAGAGCUCGGGGACACUGUUUUGGCAAAUUAAAAGUUUAUUUCAUCGUCA